CCGCCCCUGGAACUACGCUCCCGUCGUGCCCCGCGGCGCGGGCGGAGGCGGGGCAGGCGGUCGGUUGCUAGGACUUGGCAGGCGCAGCGCUCGCGUGUGGCGCUUCAGGUGGCUGCAGCCUUCUGCCCCGCCCAGCUGUCAAGCGGAAAUGUCUGAAAAGGAGAACAACUUCCCGCCGCUGCCCAAGUUCAUCCCCCUGAAGCCCUGCUUCUACCAGAACUUCUCCGACGAGAUACCCAUUGAGCACCAGCUCCUGGUGAAGAGGAUCUACCGGCUGUGGCUGUUCUACUGUGCCACCCUGGGGGUCAACCUCAUUGCCUGCCUGGCCUGGUGGAUCGGCGGCGGCUCGGGAGCCAACUUUGGCCUGGCCUUGGUCUGGCUGCUGCUCUUCUCUCCCUGUGGCUACGUGUGCUGGUUCCGGCCCGCGUACAAGGCCUUCCGAGCCGACAGCUCCUUCAACUUCAUGGCGUUCUUCUUCAUCUUCGGAGCGCAGUUUGUCCUGACCGUCAUCCAGGCGAUCGGCUUCUCGGGAUGGGGCGCAUGUGGUUGGCUGUCAGCAAUCGGGUUCUUCCAGACCAGCGUCGGGGCCGCCGUGGUCAUGCUCUUUCCAGCCAUCCUGUUCUCCGUGUCCGCUGCCAUGAUGGCCAUUGUGAUCGUGAAGGUACACAGGAUCUACCGGGGGGCGGGCGGAAGCUUCCAGAAGGCACAGACCGAGUGGAACACGGGCGUUUGGCGGAACCCACCGUCCAGAGAGGCUCAGUACAACAACUUCUCAGGGAAUAGCCUGCCCGAGUACCCCACCGUGCCCAGCUACCCGGCUUCUGGCAGCCAGUGGCCGUAGGGGGGGCUGCGUGGCCCCACGGCCUGCCCACCUGCCCCCGUCGCCAUCCUCUCCUCCCCCGGCCAGGGCAGCAGAGCCCAGGAGCACUUGGGGACCCGUGUUUGUGUUCAUCUCACCUUCGGGAGGGAGGUCCUCGCAAGCGCCGCCCAGAAACCGUCCAGCCUCUGCUGCCUGGCAGGAGGAUGCCCCUGCCACACGUCACGUUCGGUCGUCAUGCUAUCCACACCCUCUCCUGCCCGGGCCAUCUGAGGGCCGACACAGGCCUCCCCAGGGAGAAGGUGGCAGCAGGCCAGCUGCCUGCCUUCCAGAGCUGAUGGCUCUGAGGACGACUGGCCUCGUGUCCACCCGCGUGUUCUGUCCCGGGGUGUGGCCCUCGGGCCUUCUCCCCCUGUUCCUGUCCCUGUGGGCGAUGGGGUCUUGGCUGGGUCCCUCACGACCUCCUCCUCCUGUGUCUCUGCCCACCUGGGGCUAGAGGGCCCUUGUGAACAGCCUACGGGGUCAGCCAGAGGCAUUUAGCUGCCGGGGCACCAUGAUCUGAGCCCCUGUCCAUCUGUCUGUCCGCCCCACGUGCUCUGGGUUCCGUGGCCACUGUGCAGGGCCGUUGGCCAGCCUGCCUCCAGCCUGCCCACCUGCAGCGGCUCUCCUCCUGGGAACUUCGAGUGGACCUCUGUGGAGAUCCCAGCACUGGGGCGGGUCCCAUGGGGAGGACGGGGCCGCUGGGCUCUCCCUGCUGUGCAGACCGCGGGGUGCAGACCGGGGGACACCAGUGGCACCUGCAGAGUGGGUGUGACUGCGCCUCCACGGCCCAGCCGCGCCUCGGAGCCUCUGACCCCACUGUUGCUCGAGCUGCACGAAGCAGGAGCCUGAGUUUCUCCAGAGAAUGGCUUUGUAGAAGGAACGAAGAUGUGACAAAUCUGUGCCUUAACGAGGAACCUAAGCAAGACGCCAGAAGGACCGGAGUGUCCCCGGCCACCUCGGCAGCGCCCUGAAGUGCAGAAAACGAGAAACCAGCAUCCCUUGCCAUGAAAGAAAAGUAACAGAGGUGGCCAGAGUAGAAACAGGAAGGUCUCAGCAGCCCAGCUGGAGGGGCCCUGUUGGUGGCGGAGCAGACACUCCACAUGGACACGGGAGGGAGGGCGUGAGUCUUAGUCCACAGUUCGGAAACGAAGAGGACCAGGCCCAGCCCGAGCGGGUGGCGUGGCUGGUGGUGUGUUCCCCUCCCCACAGGUGCACGUGUGGACGUCCUGACACCAGACCUCAGGCCAGGACUGUGUUUGGGUCGGGGUCGCUGCAGGGGUACUUAGUUGGGGUGAGGUCCCACUGGAGCAGAGGGGCCCCAGAGUGAUGACGGGCAUCCUUAUAAAGGGACACGUGGAUGCAGACAGGCCGGAGGAAGCCCCGCAGAGACAGGGGUGAUGCCCCCCCCGGGGGUCAGGGUCGAGGCCGCCCCAGGAAGGCACCCAGCAGAGGCGAGGGGAGUGGAACGAGGGGCAGGGGCCUGCUGUGCCCGGGGGCUGCACCACACCUGGCAGGCCUGUCCCUGGGAUGGGCGGGGAGGCGGCGUUGGUGACAGCAGGAAGAGGAGCAGCACCCAGGCCUGGAGGGAGGAAGGGCUGUGGGCUGCCUCGGCCUCCGGGUGACCUGUCAGGACGCAGGAUGUGGCUGGAGUUGAGAGACUGAGGCCCAAGUGAGAAGUGUGCGUGGGCGGCCGCGUCCAGGAACCACGGGGUCGUAAGCCGCAGGGGUCUCCCCUCCCACCUUCUGGAGGGCAGAGCCUGGGAUCCGGGUGGGAACGGCCACCGCGGGAUGGUGGGGCUGGGGCGGGCGUCCGCGGGGCCUGACUGCCCUGCAAGGCCCGGGCGGGGCCUCCCUGCGCGCCUAACAAUGCUAACAGUGGCGUAGAACGUAAGACGACAUCUACAAAUGUGUUAACGUCAUCUAAGGAUGUGUUCGCUACACUUCAACAUUAAAAAAAUAACUUUUUUAAGAAAAGA